UACGUAGGGUGCGAGCGUUGUCCGGAAUUAUUGGGCGUAAAGAGCUCGUAGGCGGCUUGUCACGUCGGAUGUGAAAGCCCGAGGCUUAACCUCGGGUCUGCAUUCGAUACGGGCUAGCUAGAGUGUGGUAGGGGAGACCGGAAUUCCUGGUGUAGCGGUGAAAUGCGCAGAUAUCAGGAGGAACACCGGUGGCGAAGGCGGAUCUCUGGGCCAUUACUGACGCUGAGGAGCGAAAGCGUGGGGAGCGAACAGG
rnacentral:rRNA from 1 species